rnacentral:rRNA from 1 species
AACGAACGCUGGCGGCAUGCCUAACACAUGCAAGUCGAACGAAGCCUUCGGGCUUAGUGGCGCACGGGUGCGUAACGCGGGGGAAUCUGCCCUUGUGUUCGGAAUAACAGUUAGAAAUGACUGCUAAUACCGGAUGAUCUCUUCGGACCAAAGAUUUAUAGCCCAAGGAUGAGCCCGCGUAGGAUUAGGUAGUUGGUGGGGUAAUGGCCCACCAAGCCGACGAUCCUUAGCUGGUCUGAGAGGAUGAUCAGCCACACUGGGACUGAGACACGGCCCAGACUCCUACGGGAGGCAGCAGUGGGGAAUAUUGGACAAUGGGCGAAAGCCUGAUCCAGCAAUGCCGCGUGAGUGAUGAAGGCCUUAGGGUUGUAAAGCUCUUUUACCAGGGAUGAUAAUGACAGUACCUGGAGAAUAAGCUCCGGCUAACUCCGUGCCAGCCGCCGCGGUAA